UACGGAGGGUGCAAGCGUUGUUCGGAAUCACUGGGCGUAAAGCGCGUGUAGGCGGCUAUCUAAGUCUGAUGUGAAAGCCCUGGGCUCAACUCAGGAAGUGCAUUGGAUACUGGAUAGCUGGAGUACCGGAGAGGAGGGUGGAAUUCCUGGUGUAGCGGUGAAAUGCGUAGAUACCGGGAGGAACACCUGAGGCGAAGGCGGCCAUCUGGUCUGUAACUGACGCUGAAGCGCGAAAGCACGGGUAGCAAACAGG
rnacentral:rRNA from 1 species